UACGAAGGGGGCUAGCGUUGCUCGGAAUUACUGGGCGUAAAGCGCACGUAGGCGGCUUGUUAAGUCAGGGGUGAAAUCCUGGAGCUCAACUCCUAGAACUGCCUUUGAUACUGGCGAGCUUGAGUCCGGGAGAGGUGAGUGGAACUGCGAGUGUAGAGGUGAAAUUCGUAGAUAUUCGCAAGAACACCGGUGGCGAAGGCGGCCAACUGGACCAUUACUGACGCUGAGGCGCGAAAGCGUGGGGAGCAAACAGG
rnacentral:rRNA from 1 species